rnacentral:rRNA from 1 species
UACAGAGGUCUCAAGCGUUGUUCGGAUUCAUUGGGCGUAAAGGGUGCGUAGGCGGCGCGGUAAGUCGGGCGUGAAAUCUCGGAGCUUAACUCCGAAACUGCAUUCGAUACUGCCGUGCUUGAGGACUGGAGAGGAGACUGGAAUUCAUGGUGUAGCAGUGAAAUGCGUAGAGAUCAUGAGGAAGACCAGUGGCGAAGGCGGGUCUCUGGACAGUUCCUGACACUGAGGCACGAAGGCCAGGGGAGCAAACGGG